AGUUUAAAGGCGCCCGUACCGUAAACCGACACAGGUGGGUGAGGAGAGUAUCCUAAGGCCAGCGAGAGAACUAUUGUUAAGGAACUCGGCAAAAUGACCCUGUAACUUAGGGAGAAGGGGUGCCAGUCUAUGACAGGCCGCAGAGAAUAGGCCCAAGCGACUGUUUACCAAAAACACAGGUUUCUGCUAAGUCGCAAGACGAUGUAUAGGAGCUGACGCCUGCCCGGUGCUAGAAGGUUAAGGGGAUCUGUUAGAGCAAUCGAAGCAGUGAACUUAAGCCCCAGUAAACGGCGGCCGUAACAAUAACGGUCCUAAGGUAGCGAAAUUCCUUGUCGGGUAAGUUCCGACCCGCACGAAAGGCGUAACGAUUUGGGCACUGUCUCAACAAUAGACUCGGUGAAAUUGUAAUCCCGGUGAAGAUGCCGGGUACCUGCGACAGGACGGAAAGACCCCAUGGAGCUUUACUGUAGCUUGACGUUGGGUCUUGGUACUACAUGUACAGGAUAGGUGGGAGACUAUGAAGCAUGGACGCCAGUCUGUGUGGAGUCAUCCUUGGGAUACCACCCUUGUAGUACUGGGAUCCUAACCAUAGGCCUUGAAUCAGGUCUUGGAACACCGUCAGGUGGGCAGUUUGACUGGGGCGGUCGCCUCCUAAAAAGUAACGGAGGCGCUCAAAGGUUUCCUCAGCACGGUCGGAAAUCGUGCGAAGAGUGUAAAGGCAAAAGGAAGCUUGAUUGCAAGACAUACAGGUCGAGCAAGGACGAAAGUCGGACUUAGUGAUCCGGUGGUACCGCAUGGAAGGGCCAUCGCUCAACGGAUAAAAGCUACCCUGGGGAUAACAGGCUUAUCUCCCCCAAGAGUCCACAUCGACGGGGAGGUUUGGCACCUCGAUGUCGGCUCAUCACAUCCUGGGGCUGUAGUAGGUCCCAAGGGUUGGGCUGUUCGCCCAUUAAAGUGGUACGCGAGCUGGGUUCAGAACGUCGUGAGACAGUUCGGUCCCUAUCCGUCGCAGGCGUAGGAAAUUUGAGAAGACCUGUCCUUAGUACGAGAGGACCGGGAUGGACGUACCUCUGGUGUACCAGUUGUUCUGCCAAGGGCAUGGCUGGGUAGCUAUGUACGGAAUGGAUAAGCGCUGAAAGCAUCUAAGCGCGAAGCCAACUUCAAGAUAAGAUUUCCCACCGUAAGGGUAAGACCCCAGGAAGACUACCUGGUUGAUAGGUCGAAGGUGUAAGUGCAGUAAUGUAUUUAGCUUAUCGAUACUAAUAGGUCGAGGACUUGACC
rnacentral:rRNA from 1 species